GAUGAACGCUGGCGGCGUGCUUAACACAUGCAAGUCGAACGAAGCGUAUUCAAGUGAAGUUUUCGGACAAAGCGAGGAUAUGACUUAGUGGCGGACGGGUGAGUAACGCGUGGGCAACCUGCCUUUCACAGCGGGAUAACAGAGGGAAGCUUCUGCUAAUACCGCAUAUACCUUUAUAACGCAUGUUAGGGAGGGGAAAGAAUUAUCGGUGAGAGAUGGGCCCGCGUCCGAUUAGAUAGUUGGUGGGGUAACAGCCUACCAAGUCGACGAUCGGUAGCCGGCUUGAGAGAGUGAACGGCCACAUUGGGACUGAGACACGGCCCAAACUCCUACGGGAGGCAGCAGUGGGGGAUAUUGGACAAUGGGGGCAACCCUGAUCCAGCGACGCCGCGUGAGUGAAGAAGUAUUUCGGUACGUAAAGCUCUAUCAGCAGGGAAGAAAGAAGACGGUACCUGACUAAGAAGCCCCGGCUAACUACGUGCCAGCAGCCGCGGUAAUACGUAGGGGGCAAGCGUUAUCCGGAAUUACUGGGUGUAAAGGGAGCGUAGACGGUUAAACAAGUCUGAAGUGAAAUGCCGGGGCUCAACCUCGGAGCUGCUUUGGAAACUAUAGAACUGGAGUGUCGGAGGGGUAAGCGGAAUUCCCAGUGUAGCGGUGAAAUGCGUAGAUAUUGGGAGGAACACCGGAGGCGAAGGCGGCUUACUGGAAGAUAACUGACGUUGAGGCUCGAAGGCGUGGGUAGCAAACAGG
rnacentral:rRNA from 1 species